rnacentral:rRNA from 1 species
UGGGGAAUAUUGCACAAUGGGCGCAAGCCUGAUGCAGCCAUGCCGCGUGUAUGAAGAAGGCCUUCGGGUUGUAAAGUACUUUCAGCGGGGAGGAAGGGAGUAAAGUUAAUACCUUUGCUCAUUGACGUUACCCGCAGAAGAAGCACCGGCUAACUCCGUGCCAGCAGCCGCGGUAAUACGGAGGGUGCAAGCGUUAAUCGGAAUUACUGGGCGUAAAGCGCAGGCAGGCGGUUUGUUAAGUCAGAUGUGAAAUCCCCGGGCUCAACCUGGGAACUGCAUCUGAUACUGGCAAGCUUGAGUCUCGUAGAGGGGGGUAGAAUUCCAGGUGUAGCGGUGAAAUGCGGAGAGAUCUGGAAGAAUACCGGUGGCGAAGGCGGCCCCCUGGACGAAGACUGACGCUCAGGUGCGAAAGCGUGGGGAGCAAACAGG